GAUGAACGCUCGCGAUAGGCUUAACACAUGCAAGUCGAGGGGCAGCACAAGGUAGCUUGCUCUCUGGGUGGCGACCGGCGCACGGGUGCGUAACGCGUAUGCAACUUGCCCUAUACAGGAGGAUAACCCGUCGAAAGACGGACUAAUACUGCGUAUGCUCACAACUUGGCAUCAAGUGGUGAGGAAAGAAAUUCGGUAUAGGAUAGGCAUGCGUCCCAUUAGCUUGUUGGUGAGGUAACGGCUCACCAAGGCAACGAUGGGUAGGGGAACUGAGAGGUUUAUCCCCCACACUGGUACUGAGACACGGACCAGACUCCUACGGGAGGCAGCAGUGAGGAAUAUUGGUCAAUGGGCGCGAGCCUGAACCAGCCAAGUCGCGUGAAGGAUGACUGUCUUAUGGAUUGUAAACUUCUUUUAUACGGGAAUAACAAGAGUCACGUGUGACUCCCUGCAUGUACCGUAUGAAUAAGCAUCGGCUAACUCCGUG
rnacentral:rRNA from 1 species